rnacentral:rRNA from 1 species
UACGUAGGGCGCAAGCGUUGUCCGGAAUUAUUGGGCGUAAAGAGCGUGCAGGCGGUCAGGUAGGUCUGCUGUGAAAACUCGAGGCUCAACCUCGAGACGUCGGCGGAAACCAUCUGGCUAGAGUCCGGAAGAGGAGAGUGGAAUUCCUGGUGUAGCGGUGAAAUGCGCAGAUAUCAGGAAGAACACCCGUGGCGAAGGCGGCUCUCUGGGACGGAACUGACGCUGAGACGCGAAAGCGUGGGGAGCGAACAGG